rnacentral:rRNA from 1 species
GAUGAACGCUGGCGGCGUGCCUAAUACAUGCAAGUCGAGCGAACAGACGAGGAGCUUGCUCCUCUGACGUUAGCGGCGGACGGGUGAGUAACACGUGGAUAACCUACCUAUAAGACUGGGAUAACUUCGGGAAACCGGAGCUAAUACCGGAUAACAUGUUGAACCGCAUGGUUUAACAGUGAAAGACGGUCUUUCUGUCACUUAUAGAUGGAUCCGCGCCGCAUUAGCUAGUUGGUAAGGUAACGGCUUACCAAGGCAACGAUGCGUAGCCGACCUGAGAGGGUGAUCGGCCACACUGGAACUGAGACACGGUCCAGACUCCUACGGGAGGCAGCAGUAGGGAAUCUUACGCAAUGGGCGAAAGCCUGACGGAGCAACGCCGCGUGAGUGAAGAAGGUCUUCGGAUCGUAAAACUCUGUUAUUAGGGAAGAACAAAUGUGUAAGUAACUAUGCACGUCUUGACGGUACCUAAUCAGAAAGCCACGGCUAACUACGUG